rnacentral:rRNA from 1 species
CAGCAGUGGGGAAUAUUGGACAAUGGGCGCAAGCCUGAUCCAGCCAUGCCGCGUGUGUGAAGAAGACCUUCGGGUUGUAGAGCACUUUCAGUGGGGAGGAAGGGUGUUGUGUUAAUAGCACAGCAUUUUGACGUUACCCACAGAAGAAGCACCGGCUAACUCCGUG